GUGGGGAAUAUUGGGCAAUGGGCGCAAGCCUGACCCAGCAACGCCGCGUGAAGGAAGAAGGCUUUCGGGUUGUAAACUUCUUUUGUCAGGGAAGAUGAAGAGACGGUACCUGACGAAUAAGCCACGGCUAACUACGUGCCAGCAGCCGCGGUAAUACGUAGGUGGCAAGCGUUGUCCGGAUUUACUGGGUGUAAAGGGCGUGUAGGCGGGACUGCAAGUCAGGCGUGAAAACCAGAGGCUCAACCUCUGGCCUGCGUUUGAAACUGUGGUUCUUGAGUACUGGAGAGGUUGACGGAAUUCCUAGUGUAGCGGUGAAAUGCGUAGAUAUUAGGAGGAACACCAGUGGCGAAGGCGGUCAACUGGACAGCAACUGACGCUGAGGCGCGAAAGCGUGGGGAGCAAACAGGA
rnacentral:rRNA from 1 species